UCGUAACAAGGUUUCCGUAGGUGAACCUGCGGAAGGAUCAUUACUGAUUUGCUUAAUUGCACCACAUGUGUUUUUUAUUGAACAAAUUUCUUUGGUGGCGGGAGCAAUCCUACCGCCAGAGGUUAUAACUAAACCAAACUUUUUAUUUACAGUCAAACUUGAUUUAUUAUUACAAUAGUCAAAACUUUCAACAACGGAUCUCUUGGUUCUCGCAUCGAUGAAGAACGCAGCGAAAUGCGAUACGUAAUAUGAAUUGCAGAUAUUCGUGAAUCAUCGAAUCUUUGAACGCACAUUGCGCCCUUUGGUAUUCCAAAGGGCAUGCCUGUUUGAGCGUCAUUUCUCCCUCAAACCCCCGGGUUUGGUGUUGAGCAAUACGCUAGGUUUGUUUGAAAGAAUUUAACGUGGAAACUUAUUUUAAGCGACUUAGGUUUAUCCAAAAACGCUUAUUUUGCUAGUGGCCACCACAAUUUAUUUCAUAACUUUGACCUCAAAUCAGGUAGGACUACCCGCUGAACUUAAGCAUAUC
rnacentral:misc_RNA from 1 species